ensembl:lncRNA
GAUAGGGACAACCAGAGAGAGAGAGAGAGAGAGAGAAAAGGAUAGCGACAGGGACAACCAGAGAGAGAGAGAGAGAGAAAAUGAUAGCGACAGGGACAACCAGAGAGAGAGAGAGAGAAAAGGAUAGCGACAGGGACAACCAGAGAGAGAAAGAGAAAAUGAUAGCAACAGGGACAACCAGAGAGAGAGAGAGAGAGAGAGAAAAGGAUAGCGACAGGGACAACCAGAGAGAGAGAGAAAAUGAUAGCGACAGGGACAACCAGAGAGAGAGAAAGAGAAAAUGAUAGCGACAGGGACAACCAGAGAGAGAGAGAGAGAGAGAGAAAAGGAUAGCGACAGGGACAACCAGAGAGAGAGAGAGAGAAAAAAUGAUAGCGACAGGGACAACCAGAGAGAGAGAGAGAGAGAAAAUGAUAGUGACAGGGACAACCAGAGAGAGAGAGAGAGAGAGAAAAUGAUAGCGACAGGGACAACCAGAGAGAGAAAAUGAUAGCGACAGGGACUGUGAAAAGGAUAGCGACAGGCACAACCAGAGAGAUAGAAAGAGAAAAUGAUAGCAACAGGGACAACCAGAGAGAGAGAGAGAGAGAGAAAAGUAUAGCGACAGGGACAACCAGGGAGAGAGAGAAAAGGAUAGCGACAGGGACAACCAGAGAGAGAGAGAGAGAGAAAAGAAUAGCGGCAGGGACAACCAGAGAGAGAGAGAGAGAAAAGGAUAGCGACAGGGACAACCAGAGAGAGAGAGAGAAAAGGAUAGCGACAGGGACAACCAGAGAGAGAGAGAGAGAGAAAAUGAUAGCGACAGGGACAACCAGAGAGAGAGAGAAAAUGAUAGCGACAGAGACAACCAGAGAGAGAGAGAAAAAAAAAAGGAUAGCGACAGGGACAACCAGAGAGAGAGAGAGAGAAAAUGAUAGCGACAGGGACAACCAGAGAGAGAGAGAGAGAGAGAAAAA